rnacentral:lncRNA from 1 species
UUCUAUUUCGAAUUUUUUACUUUUAUAUUUGUACCUGUAUGUUUACAUUUUUGGACAACCUAAACAGUGCAGACAAUACUGUAAACAAUUUCUAGGAAUCCCAUUCCAUUCUGCCAAGACAUUGCUUUGUAAUAUGUUAUACAGGUGAAGGCACAUACAAGAUAGAACAAAGUAUAUCAUUGGACUAGAAGGAAAGAUGAAUGGCAGAAAAGUUUCAUAGAGAGGAGGAGACUGGUGUGAGGCAUGAGAAGAAGCAGCAGAGAGAACAUGGAGGCUGAUGUUGAGAUUCCUCUCUGCAUAUUUACAGGGUGUUAGGAAUAUACUUAAGGGAUGGAUGUAUACAGGGCUUUUUAUGUCUAGGUGGGCAAUGUUUUCAAUCUUAUCAAUUUCAUUAGAGGUUAUGGUGUUGUGUGUUCUUUCAUGUGGUGAUUUAACUUCAAGAGUGUAUGUGGUGGCUGGUGACACUAGGCUGCCAUGGAAUUGGGAUAUAUAUUUUGGGCAUGGAGGCAACCUGCCUUGGGAACUAAAUGAGUAGAGCGAUUGUUACGAGUCUCAGAGAGAAGUC